GGGGCCGCGGCCUGCGCGGCGCCGGCGGCGGCGCCUCCGACAGCCGCCGCUGCCGUGCGGAGUCCGCCCUAAGCUCGUGUUCGGGGGCGCAAGAGGUGCAAACGCGGAGGUGGUGCUGCUCCUGGUAACCCUAGCUCACACCUGCAGAUGUCUGACUGCGUGCUCUGCUGCAGCGCUGGAGACCCCGUCCGCGACAGAUUUUGUGUCAAGCGUGGAGUUUUGGCUGAGGGAUUUCUGUGAGCUUCUCCAGAGGAUAUAAGAUAGAAUACUGAGACAUGACGGAUCAGAGUUGCUCUUCCUUGGAGCCUGUGUUUUGACAUUGGGCUUGCAGAGCUGUCCAGUUUUCUGAGCAGAGGAGAUUCCAAAGGUGACUCCCAUUUUAUGCUCCCUCCGCCUACUUUGAAUGUUUGACUCAACUCAAGAAAAUGAUACGAUCAGAGCCCCCUUUCCUGACAUCAUAACACAAUGGGGAUAGUGAACUGAUGGAGUGAAGAAGAGCAUCUGCAGGAAGUGCUGGCGAUAGCAACGUGCUGCUCAACUACCCAGGCCCUAUGAAAGUGAAAGUAGUCCUGCGUGUCCUGGUCCCUAUGGAACUUUGGUCAGUGGAACUCUGCUCUGCUAGGCUUUCCACUGCAACGUGACAUUUCUCAGGAGACAUACAUGACUGCCUUAAUGUUUUUCACUUGUCCUCUGCCAAAUUAUUCUCUCUCAAUUUGUUCAUUGGCUUUCUCUAGCAUUUGGAAUUUUUUUUUUCCCUGUGAUUGGUCUAUAAAAUCCAUCUGAUAGGCAGGAAGAGAGUAAAAUGUUCUCUUUCUUCAAGGCAAGUAGGAUUGGAUUUCUUUUUUGGCUUAUUUUCCAAGAGAUAGAAUGAUAUUGUAGUACUUUCCAGAGCAAAUCAACCCAGUCAUUGAGCUAACAAUUUUUACAAAGCUCAGCCAGUAUCAACCCGUUUUUUCAAAUUAAGAUGUGGCUCCAUAAGUGAUUUGGCCAAAGGUCACUCUGACAGUAACCUGUGGUCAUGUAAUGAAACAUGACUUUGUGCCUCGAAGCUCCAGAAGAAUGUACUAUUCUGAAGUUUGCAGUUAGCUCAUGCUAUCUCAUUUGAAGAUUUAUUGCCAUACCUCACUGCCAGCAGUACUGGAGAUAAUAUAGUGUGAUGCCAAGUCAGCCACCUGGUUGAGGAGCUGGAAAGUUUUUGUUUAUUAUAACUCACUGAAAAGAUAACACUAGCAGUAGAGUAUGCAUGCUAAUGCAUAAUAAACCCAUGAAACCCUCCUGUUCAUCUCCUGCUAACAAAACAAUUAUUGAUUUCCAAGGAAGCACUAUGUCAGUGAAACAAGCAGGAUUCAGUCUAAGUAAACUUGGUUCUAUAAGUGUACAGAAUACAGGACUUCUCUAAGGAAACUGUCAUCUUAACUACAUGGCUGAAUGCUAGGCCAUGCAAAGUCAGUAGCAUUGGUCACAAUACUGUCUCUCACUUCAGUGAGAGACAGCAUUUCACUUGGAACAGAAGAAAAAAAUGGCUCAGUGGACUGUGUCUAGAAAGUGGAGCCAGGAGAACUCGUAUGUGCUUCUGGCUGACUAGCUGCAUGACCUUAAUGACAUUGAAUCUUUGUGCCUCAAAUAUAAAGCGUAUCUUUCUUUG